rnacentral:rRNA from 1 species
GACGAACGCUGGCGGCGUGCUUAACACAUGCAAGUCGAACGGAAAGGCCCUGCUUUUGUGGGGUGCUCGAGUGGCGAACGGGAGAGUAACACGUGAGUAACCUGCCCUUGACUUGGGAUAACUUCAGGAAACUGGGGCUAAUACCGGAUAGGAGCUCCUGCUGCAUGGUGGGGGUUGGAAAGUUUCGGCGGUUGGGGAUGGACUCGCGGCUUAUCAGCUUGUUGGUGGGGUAGUGGCUUACCAAGGCUUUGACGGGUAGCCGGCCUGAGAGGGUGACCGGCCACAUUGGGACUGAGAUACGGCCCAGACUCCUACGGGAGGCAGCAGUGGGGAAUAUUGCACAAUGGGCGGAAGCCUGAUGCAGCAACGCCGCGUGCGGGAUGACGGCCUUCGGGUUGUAAACCGCUUUCGCCUGUGACGAAGCGUGAGUGACGGUAAUGGGUAAAGAAGCACCGGCUAACUACGUGCCAGCAGCCGCGGUGAUACGUAGGGUGCGAGCGUUGUCCGGAUUUAUUGGGCGUAAAGGGCUCGUAGGUGGUUGAUCGCGUCGGAAGUGUAAUCUUGGGGCUUAACCCUGAGCGUGCUUUCGAUACGGGUUGACUUGAGGAAGGUAGGGGAGAAUGGAAUUCCUGGUGGAGCGGUGGAAUGCGCAGAUAUCAGGAGGAACACCAGUGGCGAAGGCGGUUCUCUGGGCCUUUCCUGACGCUGAGGAGCGAAAGCGUGGGGAGCGAACAGGCUUAGAUACCCUGGUAGUCCACGCUGUAAACGGUGGGUACUAGGUGUGGGGUCCAUUCCACGGGUUCCGUGCCGUAGCUAACGCUUUAAGUACCCCGCCUGGGGAGUACGGCCGCAGGGCUAAAACUCAAAGGAAUUGACGGGGCCCCGCACAAGCGGCGGAGCAUGCGGAUUAAUUCGAUGCAACGCGUAGAACCUUACCUGGGUUUGACAUGGAUCGGGAGUGCUCAGAGAUGGGUGUGCCUCUUUUGGGGUCGGUUCACAGGUGGUGCAUGCCUGUCGUCAGCUCGUGUCGUGAGAUGUUGGGUUAAGUCCCGCAACGAGCGCAACCCUUGUUCACUGUUGCCAGCACGUUAUGGUGGGGACUCAGUGGAGACCGCCGGGGUCAACUCGGAGGAAGGUGGGGAUGACGUCAAGUCCUCAUGCCCCUUAUGUCCAGGGCUUCACGCAUGCUACAAUGGCUGGUACAGAGAGUGGCGAGCCUGUGAGGGUGAGCGAAUCUCGGAAAGCCGGUCUCAGUUCGGAUUGGGGUCUGCAACUCGACCUCAUGAAGUCGGAGUCGCUAGUAAUCGCAGAUCAGCAACGCUGCGGUGAAUACGUUCCCGGG